GACGAACGCUGGCGGCGUGCUUAACACAUGCAAGUCGAACGGAAAGGCCCUGCUUUUGUGGGGUGCUCGAGUGGCGAACGGGUGAGUAACACGUGAGUAACCUGCCCUUGACUUUGGGAUAACUUCAGGAAACUGGGGCUAAUACCGGAUAGGAGCUCCUGCUGCAUGGUGGGGGUUAGAAAGUUUCGGCGGUUGGGGAUGGACUCGCGGCUUAUCAGCUUGUUGGUGGGGUAGUGGCUUACCAAGGCUUUGACGGGUAGCCGGCCUGAGAGGGUGACCGGCCACAUUGGGACUGAGAUACGGCCCAGACUCCUACGGGAGGCAGCAGUGGUGAAUAUUGCACAAUGGGCGGAAGCCUGAUGCAGCAACGCCGCGUGCGGGAUGACGGCCUUCGGGUUGUAAACCGCUUUCGCCUGUGACGAAGCGUGAGUGACGGUAAUGGGUAAAGAAGCACCGGCUAACUACGUG
rnacentral:rRNA from 1 species